rnacentral:ncRNA from 1 species
AUAAAGGCUUUGAAAAGGAAGAGUAAGCAAAUUACUGUUUUAAAGAGAGGGAAUUAUUAGCUGAAAUUUUCCCAAACGUGUAUUGUUGAAAACCACCUUUGAGCUGAGUGUUGAAUUAUAGUAGGCAUUUCCGCAUAUCUGCGUUAUUGAUUUGAGUGAAAGGAAGGAAAGAUUUCUUCUUUUAAUUUGGGUGGAAACACGGUAACUCGUCCCUUGU